UAGCGGAGGAAAAGAAACCAACCGGGAUUGCCUUAGUAACGGCGAGUGAAGCGGCAAAAGCUCAAAUUUGAAAUCUAGUACCUUCGGUGCUCGAGUUGUAAUUUGUAGAGGGAUACUUUGGGGCCGUUCCUUGUCUAUGUUCCUUGGAACAGGACGUCAUAGAGGGUGAGAAUCCCGUGUGGCGAGGAGUGCGGUUCUAUGUAAAGUGCCUUCGAAGAGUCGAGUUGUUUGGGAAUGCAGCUCUAAGUGGGUGGUAAAUUCCAUCUAAAGCUAAAUAUUGGCGAGAGACCGAUAGCGAACAAGUACAGUGAUGGAAAGAUGAAAAGAACUUUGAAAAGAGAGUGAAAAAGUACGUGAAAUUGUUGAAAGGGAAGGGCAUUUGAUCAGACAUGGUGUUUUGCGCCCUCUGCUCCUUGUGGGUGGGGGACUCUCGCAGCUCACUGGGCCAACAUCAGUUUUGGUGGUCGGACAAAUCCGUAGGAAUGUAGCUUACCUCGGUAAGUGUUAUAGCCUGCGGGAAUACGGCCAGCCGGGACUGAGGACUGCGACUUUUGUCAAGGAUGUUGGCAUAAUGGUUAUAUGCCGCCCGUCUUGA
rnacentral:rRNA from 1 species